GACGAACGCUGGCGGCGUGCUUAACACAUGCAAGUCGAACGGAAAGGCCCUGCUUUUGUGGGGUGCUCGAGUGGCGAACGGGUGAGUAACACGUGAGUAACCUGCCCUUGACUUUGGGAUAACUUCAGGAAACUGGGGCUAAUACCGGAUAGGAGCUCCUGCUGCAUGGUGGGGGUUGGAAAGUUUCGGCGGUUGGGGAUGGACUCGCGGCUUAUCAGCUUGUUGGUGGGGUAGUGGCUUACCAAGGCUUUGACGGGUAGCCGGCCUGCGAGGGUGACCGGCCAAAUUGGGACUGAGAUACGGCCCAGACUCCUACGGGAGGCAACAGUGGGAAAUAUUGCACAAUGGGCGGAAGCCUGAUGCAGCAACGCCGCGUGCGGGAUGACGGCCUUCGGGUUGUAAACCGCUUUCGCCUGUGACGAAGCGUGAGUGACGGUAAUGUGUAAAGAAGCACCGGCUAACUACGUG
rnacentral:rRNA from 1 species